rnacentral:rRNA from 1 species
CCUACGGGAGGCAGCAGUGAGGAAUCUUGGUCAAUGGACGAGAGUCUGAACCAGCCACGUAGCGUGAAGGAUGACUGCCCUAUGGGUUGUAAACUUCUUUUCUCAAGGACUAAAACGCGGCACGUGUGCCCUUUUGCAUGUACUUUCUUAUUAAGGAUCGGCUAACUCAGUGCCAGCAGCCGCGGUCAUUCGGAGGGUCCGAGCAUUAUCCGGAUGUAUUUGGUUUACAGGGAGCGUAGAUGGGUGGUUAAGUCAGUUGUGAAAGUUUGCGUCUCAACCGGAAAAUUGCAAUUGAUACUGGCAGUCUUGAGGACAGUUGAGGUAGGUGGAAUUCGUGGUGUAGCGGUGAAAUGCGUAGAUAUCACGAAGAACCCCGAUUGCGAAGGCAGCUUACUAAACUGUGACUGACAUUGAGGCGCGAAAGUGUGGGUAUCAAACAGGAUUAGAUACCCGAGUAGUC